rnacentral:rRNA from 1 species
AGAUUGAACGCUGGCGGCGUGCCUAACACAUGCAAGUCGAGCGGUAACAGGUGUAGCAAUACAUGCUGACGAGCGGCGAACGGGUGAGUAAUGCUUUGGAAUCUUCCCAGUAGUGGGGAAUAACCAGUCGAAAGAUUGGCUAAUACCGCAUACGUCUGUAAAGGGAAGCGGGGGCUCGUAAGACCUCGCGCUAUUGGAUGAGCCAAAGUCGGAUUAGCUUGUUGGUGGGGUAAUGGCCUACCAAGGCGACAAUCCGUAGCUGGUCUGAGAGGACGACCAGCCACACCGGAACUGAGACACGGUCCGGACUCCUACGGGAGGCAGCAGUGGGGAAUAUUGGACAAUGGGGGAAACCCUGAUCCAGCGACGCCGCGUGUGUGAAGAGGCCUGCGGGUUGUAACCACUGUCAGGGUAAGAAGUUCUGAUCUACCCAGAGGAGGCACGGCUAACUCUGUGCCAGCAGCCGC